UCAGGACGAACGCUGGCGGCACGCUUAACACAUGCAAGUCGAACGAGCGAAAGAGUGCUUGCACUCUCUAGCUAGUGGCGGACGGGUGAGUAACACGUGGGCAAUCUGCCUUUCGGUGGGGGAUACCAAUUGGAAACGAUUGUUAAUACCCCAUAACAUAGAUAAGCCGCAUGACCUAUCUAUCAAAGAUUUAUUGCCGGAAGAUGAGCUCGCGUCUGAUUAGGUAGUUGGUGAGGUAACGGCCCACCAAGCCGACGAUCAGUAGCCGGACUGAGAGGUUGAACGGCCACAUUGGGACUGAGACACGGCUCAGACUCCUACGGGAGGCAGCAGUGGGGAAUAUUGCACAAUGGGCGAAAGCCUGAUGCAGCGAUGCCGCGUGAGGGAAGAAGGUUUUAGGAUUGUAAACCUCUGUCUUUGGGGACGAUAAUGACGGUACCCAAGGAGGAAGCUCCGGCUAACUACGUGCCAGCCGCAGC
rnacentral:rRNA from 1 species